rnacentral:SRP_RNA from 10 species
GUCCAGUAUAAUGGUGCAUGCCUAUAAUCCCAGCUACUUAGGAGGCUGAGAUAAGAAGAUCACCUGAGCCUAAGAGUUCUGGCCUGUAGUGUGCUAUGCCAGUCAGGUGUCUACACUAAGCUCGACAUCAAUAUAAUUACCUCCCGGAAGUAGGGGGACCACCAGGUUACCUAAGGAGGGGUGAACUGGCCCAGGUUGGAAACAGAGGUCAAAACUCCUGUGCUGAUCACUAGUGGGAUCACGCCUGUGAGCAACCACUGCACUCCAGCCUGGGGCAACACAGCAAGACCCCAUCU